CCUACGGGAGGCAGCAGUGGGGGAUAUUGCACAAUGGGGGGAACCCUGAUGCAGCGACGCCGCGUGGGUGAAGGAGUGCUUCGGCAUGUAAAGCCCUAUCGGCAGGGAAGAAGCAAGACGGUACCUGAAGAAGAAGCCCCGGCUAACUACGUGCCAGCAGCCGCGGUAAUACGUAGGGGGCAAGCGUUAUCCGGAUUUACUGGGUGUAAAGGGGGCGCAGACGGGGAGGCAAGCCAGGAGUGAAAGGCCGGGGUGAAACCGGAGGACUGCUCUGGGUACUGCGUGGAUUGAGUACAGGAGGGGCAGGCGGAAUGCGUGGGGUAGAGGGGAAAUG
rnacentral:rRNA from 1 species